rnacentral:rRNA from 1 species
AGAAUCAACGCUGGCGGCGUGCCUAACACAUGCAAGUCGAGCGAGAAAGUGGAGCAAUCCAUGAGUAAAGUGGCGACCGGGUGAGUAACACGUGACUAACCUACCUUCGAGUGGGGGAUAACAUCGGGAAACCGAUGCUAAUACCGCAUAACAUCGCAAGAUCAAAGCAGCAAUGCGCUUGAAGAGGGGGUCGCGGCUGAUUAGCUAGUUGGCGGGGUAAUGGCCCACCAAGGCGAAGAUCGGUA